UACGGAGGGAGCUAGCGUUAUUCGGAAUUACUGGGCGUAAAGCGCACGUAGGCGGCUUUGUAAGUUAGAGGUGAAAGCCCGGAGCUCAACUCCGGAACUGCCUUUAAGACUGCAUCGCUUGAAUCCAGGAGAGGUGAGUGGAAUUCCGAGUGUAGAGGUGAAAAUUCGUAGAUAUUCGGAAGAAACACCAGUGGCGAAGGCGGCUCA
rnacentral:rRNA from 1 species